UACGUAGGUGGCAAGCGUUACUCGGAAUCACUAGGCGUAAAGCGCAGCUAGGCGGUUUGGUAAGUCUUUUGUGAAAGCUCCCGGCUCAACUGGGAGAGGUCAAAGGAAACUACUAGGCUAGAGUGUGGUAGGGGAUACUGGAAUUCCUGGUGUAGCGGUGAAAUGCGUAGAUAUCAGGAGGAAUACCUAUGGCGAAAGCAGGUAUCUGGGCCAUCACUGACGCUGAGCUGCGAAAGCUAGGGGAGCAAACAGG
rnacentral:rRNA from 1 species